rnacentral:rRNA from 1 species
UGAAUUAAUUAUAUACUAAGUUAAUUUUUAUUUUCUAUAGUCGUAAGAUUUUCUUUUUGGGUUUUUAGUAAGAAUUAAUUUCUGUACCUUUUGUAUAAGAGUUUUUUAAGACUUUAUAUUUAUCGUAUUAUCCCGAUAGUGAGAAAUUUAUUAAACUAGGCUUGCUUGAUGUUGCACUAUUAAGUUAAAUUUUUUAAUAAUUGGCUAGAUACUAUACUGCUCUUACGGGUAUCUGGUUAGCCCAGAAAUAUAUUUAGUAUAGAGUUUUUUAUAAAAUAUUUAAAAUGUUUUGGAUAAGCAGAAUGUUUAUAUUAUUGAAAUGUUUAUAAUAAUCUUCUAAGUGAGUAGUCUUAAUGUCAGUAAUUAAAUAGUUUGUUACAAAAAAUUUAGUAUUUGUUUUUAAUUAUUUUGUAGUUGUAGUAUCAUUAAUUUGAUGGGUUUAAGUUUUAUUGAAUUACGAUGAUGAUAAAAAUUAGUAGAGAGUAGUGAUUUAAAAAUGUUGUUUGCUUAUUACUUUCAACAAUUUUAUUAUGUUUUCUUUACAGUUUCUUGUAAUUAAUUUGGCAAAUUUACUUUUCGACUGUUUAACAAAAACAUUUCUUCUUGGUUUUAAUAUAGGAAGUAAGCCCUGCCCUAUGCUUUAUUAAGUAAAUGGCUGCAUAAACUCGAGUGUACUGAGGUAGCGCUAUAAUUUGCCUUUUAAAUGUGGGCUGGUAUGAAGGGGUUAACGUGAAAGUUGCUGUGUCGCAGAAAUCAGUUGAAAUUAACUUUUAGGUGAAGAGGCCUAAAUAAAUUUAAAGGACGACAAGACCCUAGAAGCUUUAUUAAGGUUUAAAUUUUUUGUAAUUUUAAUUUAUUUUUGUUGGGGCGACAUGAUUAGUAUAUAUAAUUUGUUUUUAAUUACUCACAGGUAAAAUCCACUUUUGUGAAUAAGGUAAGCUACUCUAGGGAUAACAGCGUUAUUUUUUUUAAUAGUACGUAUUGUAAAAAAAGUUUGCGACCUCGAUGUUGGACUAAGGUGUCCUUAAGGUGUAGAAGCUUUAGAGGGUUGGCCUGUUCGUCCAUUAAAACCUUACAUGAUCUGAGUUCAGACCGGCGCGAGCUAGGUCAGUUUCUAUCCUUAUAAAUAAAUAAAUUUUAAUUAAGUUAGUACGAAAGGAGUUUUUAAUUUGAAAAUGGUUAAAUUAUUUAGUUUGUUUUAAAAACUU